UUGGUUAGGGUUUGAUUUAGGAUUUAGUUUAGGAUUCGGUUAGGAUUUAGUUUAUGAUUCGGUUAGGAUUUUAUUUAGGUUUUGGAUUAGGGUUUGGUUUAGAGUUUAGGAUUUAGAUUAGGAUUUGGUUAAGAUUUGUUUUAGAAUUUAAGAUUUGAUUUAGGAUUUGAUUAGGAUUUGAUUUAGGUUUUGAUUUAGGAUUUAGGAUUUUAUUAGGAUUUAAGAUUUAAUUAGGUUUGGCCUAAAGUUUGAAUGAAGUUCAAUAAGAUUUUAACUAGAAUUAAAUUAAGAUUGAAUUGAGAUGUAUUUGAAUGAUAUUUGUGAUCUUUCUAAUAUUUUUUUAAGAAUUCUUAUUGUUUGUUUGAAAUUUCUUGAAGU
rnacentral:lncRNA from 1 species